rnacentral:lncRNA from 1 species
AAAUGUCCAAUAUUCUUGAACAUGUUUCCCACGAAAAUACGAAUACGAAUACAAAAGUUUUAUUUUGAUUCGGUUUACAUUUAAGAAUACAAACAUAAGCUCUUAAGAGCUUUUUACCGAAUAUAAAAUAACAUAAACACAACAUUUAAACACACAAACAUGCAGACAAGAUAUAUAACAGCAUAGGCACAUUGAAAAACAUACAAAGCACUACUAAAAUACAUAUCUUAACAACCAAAGCUGAAGCACAACUAAAAUUAAGCACUAAUAAACAUAUAGCACACAUGCAAAC